rnacentral:rRNA from 1 species
AACGAACGCUGGCGGCAGGCCUAACACAUGCAAGUCGAGCGCUCUAGCAAUAGGGAGCGGCGCACGGGUGAGUAACGCGUAGGAAUCUACCUUGUAGUACGGAACAACAGUUGGAAACGACUGCUAAUACCGUAUACGCCCUGCGGGGGAAAGAAUUUCGCUAGAAGAUGAGCCUGCGUUAGAUUAGCUAGUUGGUGAGGUAAUGGCUCACCAAGGCUCCGAUCUAUAGCUGGUCUGAGAGGAUGAUCAGCCACACUGGGACUGAGACACGGCCCAGACUCCUACGGGAGGCAGCAGUGGGGAAUAUUGGGCAAUGGGCGCAAGCCUGACCCAGCCAUGCCGCGUGAGUGAUGACGGCCUUAGGGUUGUACAGCUCUUUUAGUGGUGAGGAUGAUGACGGUAACCACAGAAAAAGCCCCGGCUAACUUCGUGCCAGCCGCCGCUGUAA